AGUGAACGCUGGCGGUAGGCCUAACACAUGCAAGUCGAACGGCAGCACAGUAAGAGCUUGCUCUUACGGGUGGCGAGUGGCGGACGGGUGAGGAAUACAUCGGAAUCUACUUUUUCGUGGGGGAUAACGUAGGGAAACUUACGCUAAUACCGCAUACGACCUACGGGUUAAAGCAGGGGAUCUUCGGACCUUGCGCGAUUGAAUGAGCCGAUAUCGGAUUAGCUAGUUGGCGGGGUAAAGGCCCACCAAGGCGACGAUCCGUAGCUGGUCUGAGAGGAUGAUCAGCCACACUGGAACUGAGACACGGUCCAGACUCCUACGGGAGGCAGCAGUGGGGAAUAUUGGACAAUGGGCGCAAGCCUGAUCCAGCCAUACCGCGUGGGUGAAGAAGGCCUUCGGGUUGUAAAGCCCUUUUGUUGGGAAAGAAAAGCAGCAGGUUAAUACCCCGCUGUUCUGACGGUACCCAAAGAAUAAGCACCGGCUAACUUCGUG
rnacentral:rRNA from 1 species